rnacentral:SRP_RNA from 1 species
GCUGGGUGUGGUGGCGCGCGCCCGUAAGUCCCAGCUACUUGGGAGGCUGAGGUGGGAGGAUCACUUGAGUCCAGGAGUUCUGGGCUGUGGUGCACUAUGCAGAUUGGGUCCAUACUAAGUUCAGCAUCACUAUGGUGACCUCCUGGGAGCGGGGGACCACCAGGUUGCCUAAGGAGGGGUGAACCGGCCGAGGUCAGAAACGGAGCAGGUCAAAACUCCGGUGCUGAUCAAAUAUAUCUUUCAGAACUAUGAAUUUUCCUUACGAUUUUUCCAUAAGCAUCUUGUUAUUGAAUUCUGUGUUU